UGACAGCAGAUGUCUUUAUGUGCUAAGCCAUCUCCCCAAGUCCCAACUCCUCCCCUCCAGGAAUCAUUCUGUGUGUACCAGAAGAUGGCUUUACUAAGCAUUCUGUUUCAAACGGUGCUCGUGGAGCACUUGGCUGCAGUGUUUGUUUGUUUAUUUCACAUUGAGAAAAGUGGCUUAACCAGUGGUUGGAGAGUUAACCAUACGUGAAUGGGACUUUUCCGAGAGCCACACCGAAUGCCAGGCCUCACGUAGGGCCCAUGCUGUUGCUGCUGCAGCUUCUACCAGGAGGGGACGGACCGAUGUAGCCUACUGAUCUCCCAAAAGUUUGGACACACCCACUAGAUGUUCAGAGAUGUGAGCUGCCUUCUGUAUCAUGGACUAAGUCUGUGUUCCCGAAGGGGGAUCCUGCCUCGAUGAGAGGAGCCAGCAGCCCAUUGGAGCCUGGUGGUUAAGGUUCUAGAAAUUCAAUCAAUAAAGAAGCAAGAUGAGGUGGUGGAUCUGUCUGCCUCUUGAUCCUCCAAGAUGUGAACAAGCUAUACCACAAGCUGAUGCUGCCACAGAUGGAGGUGCCCUAGCCACAUGCCUUUCUGACCAUUAUGGACUGUGUGCCCUGAGACUGUGAGCC